rnacentral:rRNA from 1 species
ACGCUGGCGGCGUGCCUAAUACAUGCAAGUAGAACGCUGAAGGAGGAGCUUGCUCCUCCGGAUGAGUUGCGAACGGGUGAGUAACGCGUAGGUAACCUGCCUGGUAGCGGGGGAUAACUAUUGGAAACGAUAGCUAAUACCGCAUAACAGUAGAUAUUGCAUGAUAUCUGCUUGAAAGGUGCAAUUGCAUCACUACCAGAUGGACCUGCGUUGUAUUAGCUAGUUGGUGAGGUAACGGCUCACCAAGGCGACGAUACAUAGCCGACCUGAGAGGGUGAUCGGCCACACUGGGACUGAGACACGGCCCAGACUCCUACGGGAGGCAGCAGUAGGGAAUCUUCGGCAAUGGACGGAAGUCUGACCGAGCAACGCCGCGUGAGUGAAGAAGGUUUUCGGAUCGUAAAGCUCUGUUGUAAGAGAAGAACGAGUGUGAGAGUGGAAAGUUCACACUGUGACGGUAUCUUACCAGAAAGGGACGGCUAACUACGUGCCAGCAGCCGCGGUAAUACGUAGGUCCCGAGCGUUGUCCGGAUUUAUUGGGCGUAAAGCGAGCGCAGGCGGUUAGAUAAGUCUGAAGUUAAAGGCUGUGGCUUAACCAUAGUACGCUUUGGAAACUGUUUAACUUGAGUGCAAGAGGGGAGAGUGGAAUUCCAUGUGUAGCGGUGAAAUGCGUAGAUAUAUGGAGGAACACCGGUGGCGAAAGCGGCUCUCUGGCUUGUAACUGACGCUGAGGCUCGAAAGCGUAGGGAGCAAACAGGAUUAGAUACCCUGGUAGUCCACGCCGUAAACGAUGAGUGCUAGGUGUUAGACCCUUUCCGGGGUUUAGUGCCGUAGCUAACGCAUUAAGCACUCCGCCUGGGGAGUACGACCGCAAGGUUGAAACUCAAAGGAAUUGACGGGGGCCCGCACAAGCGGUGGAGCAUGUGGUUU